rnacentral:rRNA from 1 species
ACGAACGCUGGCGGCGUGCUUAACACAUUCAAGUCGAACGGUGAAGCGCCUUCCUUUUUGGUGGGUGUGGAUGAGUGGCGAACGGGUGAGUAACACGUGAGUAACCUGCCCCCUUCUUCUGGAUAACCGCAUGAAAGUGUGGCUAAUACGGGAUAUUCUGGGUCUGUCGCAUGAUGGGUCUGGGAAAGAUAUUGUUUCGGUGGGGGAUGGGCUCGCGGCCUAUCAGCUUGUUGGUGGGGUGAUGGCCUACCAAGGCGGUGACGGGUAGCCGGCCUGAGAGGGUGGACGGUCACACUGGGACUGAGACACGGCCCAGACUCCUACGGGAGGCAGCAGUGGGGAAUAUUGCACAAUGGGCGCAAGCCUGAUGCAGCGACGCCGCGUGAGGGAUGGAGGCCUUCGGGUUGUGAACCUCUUUCGCCAGUGAAGCAGGCCUGCCUCGUUUGUGGGUGGGUUGACGGUAGCUGGAUAAGAAGCGCCGGCUAACUACGUG